rnacentral:rRNA from 1 species
UACGGGGGGAGCAAGCGUUGUUCGGAUUUACUGGGCGUAAAGGGCGCGUAGGCGGCGUGACAAGUCACUUGUGAAAUCUCCGGGCUUAACCCGGAGCGGCCAAGUGAUACUGUCGUGCUAGAGUGCGGAAGGGGCUACUGGAAUUCUCGGUGUAGCGGUGAAAUGCGUAGAUAUCGAGAGGAACACCUGCGGCGAAGGCGGGUAGCUGGGCCGACACUGACGCUGAGGCGCGAAAGCUAGGGUAGCAAACGGG